CAAAAUUUUUAUAUAGACAAUUAUUUUAGCAUGUGGAAAUUGCCAACAAAUGCACAAUGUGUCACUAUAAAAUUGGGAUGAUUUUUUGAGUUCAUACAUAUGGUCAUGUACUCUACAGUAAAAAUGAUAACAUUUAACACAUCUGGGUCAUUCCACUACCAAAGUACAGGCAUUAUGGGCUGUAAAUUGUGGCUCUAAGGCACAGGCUUGGCUAAGAGGAAAAGUAAUGUUCUGGUGCUCCAGCAGGAACCCAUAUGGGAGCUGAGCCUAAAGGCGUCACUGAGGACAGAAGCAUAAACCCAUAACUGAAGGAUUUUGCAGACCACAGCAUGUACUCCCCCUGGCUACUCUGUGCUCUGUCAUUAUUACAUCCAAUGCACAAAGGAAGAUUUCUAGCACCGAGAGUCAUUAAGGGCCCUGGACAUGUUUCAGUACUGCUCAGAGACUUGGGCAGUCAUUUAUAGCAGCAGAAGGGACAAGAAAGCGCAGAUAUCUUGAGAAGCUGUAGUGAGAGCUACAACAAAGCACUGUUCUUUUCCCUAGGAAUGGGAGGAAGAGUGUUCUGUAUCAGAUCUGCCAAAUCCAUGUGGAUGCCAAGUUUCUGCUAUAGCAUCUCCAGUGGGUUGACUGACAGACUGGAACCUUCCAGAUGAGAUUCUGCUCAAAGGUGUCAUAGGAUGUCUGAGACAUCUACAUUGCGCUGGCAGAUAUGACCUGCCUCCUCUGAAGAUGUAGCUGGAGAUCAGCCAGAAUACUGUGGAGCAGCUACCAUGGCACGAGGCAUCAACGCCAGCACAAAGAGGAUAAAUUCAGGCAACUGGAGUCCAUAAUUCCUCCAUAAUGCCUUCAGCAAAUGCUUCUGCUUUCCAGAUUGCAGAGACCACAGCCCCUAAUAAGAGGCUCCUCUGGCUGCAUAAGGGCACAAUGAGGUUUGCUCUUGAACUGACAUAACAGGAAAGUUCGGGAAGCUUUCCUCUGCUGUACUGUCACACAAGCUAUAGUCCUUAUCAUCCUACAGGGCGAACUGCUGUAGCUGGACAGAGCAAUACACAGGAUAUGAUUGCUGCUAGCAACUCCAUUGAGCUACACUAAGCAGUGCUACAGUGGAAAGAAAAAGGUGACUUCAGUUCUGUUAGGUCUCUUGGAAAACCUGCUUCUACAUAUUGUUAUCAAGCUGCUAGUGAUGCUGACAAAGAGUUCACUUGAUCUGAAGUGACCUUUGUUUAAAGUGGGGUUUUCAUGUUAUUUGUGUGCCUGUCCAUAGAACAGCUUUGGACAGUACGGAGGGAGUGUCAUAGAAAUCCGAGCCUGUAAACACAGACCAUAAAAUCCGAGCAGGGAAAUGCAUACCUUGAUCUAAUGGAAAUAAUUGUACCAAGAGAUUUCUUGAAAUCGAAAUAAAACUAAGCAAGUUCUAG
ensembl:lncRNA